UCCUUUCGGGGGCAAGCUUCGGCAGCCGAAGGCUGCCUCCACAAGCAUGUUCGGCGGCCGAAAGUUCCUUUGGCUGCCGAACCUGGUUUCUCCCAGAAUGGCAGAAACUCAGCUCCCCUAUGCAUUUAUGCUUCCUAUCUCAUCCAAACAUGCAUAAACCUAUUCUACAACACUCAUACACAAGCAUACAAGUUCCUAGGGGCAUCAAACCAUCAAAACCCCAACUACAACACACAAGCAACUCACAUUGUUCAAAA
rnacentral:lncRNA from 1 species